AUUGAACGCUAGCGGGAUGCUUUACACAUGCAAGUCGAACGAGGGGCGGACGGGUGAGUAAUAUAUCGGAACGUGCCCAGUAGCGGGGGAUAACUACUCGAAAGAGGGGCUUAUACCGCAAACUCUUGGAGCGGCCUAUAUCGGAUUGGCUAUUGUGUGGGGUAAAGGCUCACCAAGGCAACGCGCCGUAGCUGGUUUGAGAGGAAGACCAGCCACACUGGGACUGAGACACGGCCCAGACUCCUACGGGAGGCAGCAGUGGGGAAUUUUGGACAAUGGGGGAAACCCUGAUCCAGCCAUCCCGCGUGUAUGAGAAGGCCUUCGGGUUGUAAAGUACUUUUGGCAGAGAAGCGGUAUCUGCAGAAUAAGCACCGGCUAACUACGUGCCAGCCGCCGCGGUAAUUC
rnacentral:rRNA from 1 species